UAUUGGUCAAUGGGCGAGAGUCUGAACCAGCCAAGUAGCGUGAAGGAUGACUGCCCUAUGGGUUGUAAACUUCUUUUAUAUGGGAAUAAAACAGGGUAUGCAUACCCUCUUGUAUGUACCAUAUGAAUAAGGAUCGGCUAACUCCGUGCCAGCAGCCGCGGUAAUACGGAGGAUCCGAGCGUUAUCCGGAUUUAUUGGGUUUAAAGGGAGCGUAGGUUGAGUGUUAAGUUAGCGGUAAAAAUUCGGGGCUCAACCCCGUCCGGCCGUUGAAACUGGGGGCCUUGAGUGGGCGAGAAGAAGGCGGAAUGCGUGGUGUAGCGGUGAAAUGCAUAGAUAUCACGCAGAACCCCGAUUGCGAAGGCAGCCUUCCGGCGCCCUACUGACGCUGAGGCACGAAAGUGCGGGGAUCGAACAG
rnacentral:rRNA from 1 species